GACGAACGCUGGCGGCGUGCUUAACACAUGCAAGUCGAACGGUGAAGCGCCUUCCUUUUUGGUGGGUGUGGAUGAGUGGCGAACGGGUGAGUAACACGUGAGUAACCUGCCCCCUUCUUCUGGAUAACCGCAUGAAAGUGUGGCUAAUACGGGAUAUUCUGGGUCUGUCGCAUGAUGGGUCUGGGAAAGAUAUUGUUUCGGUGGGGGAUGGGCUCGCGGCCUAUCAGCUUGUUGGUGGGGGGAUGGCCUACCAAGGCGGUGGCGGGUGGCCGGCCUGAGAGGGUGGACGGUCACACUGGGACUGAGACACGGCCCCGCCUCCUACGGGAGGCAGCAGUGGGGAAUAUUGCACAAUGGGCGCAAGCCUGAUGCAGCGACGCCGCGUGAGGGAUGGAGGCCUUCGGGUUGUGAACCUCUUUCGCCAGUGAAGCAGGCCUGCCUCGUUUGUGGGUGGGUUGACGGUAGCUGGAGAAGAAGCGCCGGCUAACUACGUG
rnacentral:rRNA from 1 species